GAACUCACCUUACAACAUAUUUUCUCAAUGUAUUUCUCCCAGUUCAAUUUUUCAUCCAAGUCUAUCCCCAAGGGUGUAAACGUAUUAGUUCGAGGAACCGGGGCAUUAUUUAAUAGAACAUGAUUGUCCUUGACUUUAUUAUUUAAAUUAUGUGAUGAUCCAAUAAACAUAACCUUUGAUUUUGUGGGAUGAUGUUUAAGCUUAUUUUUAGAUAGCCACUUCCGAAUGUUGUUUAAGUCUAUAUCUAAAUUUUCAAUCAAAGUGUCAAAGUUGUAUGAUGUAUUGACAUCUCUUUAAUAUAGGGCGGAGGUCAAGUAAAUUGUAGUAACCAUGGCACCUGUGAUUGUGGCAAAUGUAACUGUGAAUCAUUUUAUGAAGGAGCGCGUUGCGAACGAUAUGUUUUUUUAUAAAUUUCCCCAUGUACAAUAAAUUUAUGUAUGGUAUAUUUGCAAUAAUGUCAAAGAUUUUUGGCUAGAGACCUACUAGAAAUCUUAUUUAGGCCUCUAGUUAUGCUAGUUUGUAUUAUAUUAUGUAAUAAUUGGCUUCUUAUAAGAAUUAGACUACAAUAUACUAGUUGAAUACAUAAAGCAGAAUGUUUUAUAGCAUGUCUUAUACAUUGGCAACUCUGUAUAGCAAAUAAUGUAGUUUAAUUUGCUUUUUGAAAGUGUUGUAGAAGUUUAUAUCUAUAAGUUUUGUUUCUAACGAAUUCCACACGUCAACUCCUUUAUUUGAUAGAGUGUGUUCUACAUAAUUUGUUCUUUUAUAACACUUGUGAAGUUUUGAUGAAU